GAUUAGUGGCGAACGGGUGAGUAACACGUGAGUAACCUGCCCCUUGCUUUCUGGAUAACUGCUCGAAAGGGUAGCUAAUACGGGAUAUUCUGACUGGUCCGCAUGGGUUGGUUUGGAAAGGUUGUUUUUUCUGGUGAGGGAUGGGCUCGCGGCCUAUCAGCUUGUUGGUGGGGUGAUGGCCUACCAAGGCUUUGACGGGUAGCCGGCCUGAGAGGGUGGACGGUCACACUGGGACUGAGAUACGGCCCAGACUCCUACGGGAGGCAGCAGUGGGGAAUAUUGCACAAUGGGCGCAAGCCUGAUGCAGCGACGCCGCGUGAGGGAUGAAGGCCUUCGGGUUGUAAACCUCUUUCGUCAGGGAACAAGGCAUUGCCUUUUUGGUGGUGUUGAGGGUACCUGGAUAAGAAGCGCCGGCUAACUACGUGCCAGCAGCCGCGGUAAUACGUAGGGCGCAAGCGUUGUCCGGAAUUAUUGGGCGUAAAGAGCUCGUAGGCGGCUGGUCGCGUCUGUCGUGAAAACUUCCGGCUCAACCGGGGGCUUGCGGUGGGUACGGGCCGGCUAGAGUGCGGUAGGGGUAACUGGAACUCCUGGUGUAGCGGUGGAAUGCGCAGAUAUCAGGAAGAACACCGAUGGCGAA
rnacentral:rRNA from 1 species